GAUGAAGAACGUAGCGAAAUGCGAUACUUGGUGUGAAUUGCAGAAUCCCGUGAACCAUCGAGUCUUUGAACGCAAGUUGCGCCCGAAGCCAUCAGGUUGAGGGCACGUCUGCCUGGGCGUCACAUAUCGUUGCUCGAUGCCUAUCGCAUUGCGAUAGGACUUAGGGCGAAUGAUGGCUUCCCGUGAGCGUUGUUGCCUCGCGGUUGGUUGAAAAUCGAGUCCUUGGUAGGGUGUGCCAUGAUAGAUGGUGGUCGAGUUAGCACGAGCCCGAUCAUGUGCAUGCUCCCCAAAAUAUGGCCUCUGUGACCCACAUGCGUCUUUGGAACGCUCAUGACGAGACCUCAGGUCAGGCGGGGCUACCCGCUGAGUUUAAGCAUAUCAAUAAGCGGAGGA
rnacentral:misc_RNA from 1 species